AGCUUUGCGCAGUGGCAGUAUCGUAGCCAAUGAGGUUUAUCCUGGGCGCGAUUAUUGCUAAUUGAUGAAGUCCCAAUAGUUUAUUUUUGCUUUUGUUUCCCUUGCCUCAGGAGACAUAUCUAGAAAAAUAUUGUUAUG